rnacentral:rRNA from 1 species
UGUUUCGGCUAGGGGGCCAUCCCGGCUUACCAACCCGAUGCAAACUGCGAAUACCGGAGAAUGUUAUCACGGGAGACACACGGCGGGUGCUAACGUCCGUCGUGAAGAGGGAAACAACCCAGACCGCCAGCUAAGGUCCCAAAGUCAUGGUUAAGUGGGAAACGAUGUGGGAAGGCCCAGACAGCCAGGAUGUUGGCUUAGAAGCAGCCAUCAUUUAAAGAAAGCGUAAUAGCUCACUGGUCGAGUCGGCCUGCGCGGAAGAUGUAACGGGGCUAAACCAUGCACCGAAGCUGCGGCAGCGACACUGUGUGUUGUUGGGUAGGGGAGCGUUCUGUAAGCCUGUGAAGGUGUGUCGUGAGGCAUGCUGGAGGUAUCAGAAGUGCGAAUGCUGACAUAAGUAACGAUAAAGCGGGUGAAAAGCCCGCUCGCCGGAAGACCAAGGGUUCCUGUCCAACGUUAAUCGGGGCAGGGUGAGUCGACCCCUAAGGCGAGGCCGAAAGGCGUAGUCGAUGGGAAACGGGUUAAUAUUCCCGUACUUGGUGUUACUGCGAAGGGGGGACGGAGAAGGCUAUGUUGGCCGGGCGACGGUUGUCCCGGUUUAAGCGUGUAGGUGUGUGUUCCAGGUAAAUCCGGUUCACUUUAACACUGAGGCGUGAUGACGAGGCACUACGGUGCUGAAGCAACAAAUGCCCUGCUUCCAGGAAAAGCCUCUAAGCAUCAGGUAACAUCAAAUCGUACCCCAAACCGACACAGGUGGUCAGGUAGAGAAUACCAAGGCGCUUGAGAGAACUCGGGUGAAGGAACUAGGCAAAAUGGUGCCGUAACUUCGGGAGAAGGCACGCUGACACGUAGGUGAAGUGAUUUACUCAUGGAGCUGAAGUCAGUCGAAGAUACCAGCUGGCUGCAACUGUUUAUUAAAAACACAGCACUGUGCAAACACGAAAGUGGACGUAUACGGUGUGACGCCUGCCCGGUGCCGGAAGGUUAAUUGAUGGGGUCAGCGCAAGCGAAGCUCCUGAUCGAAGCCCCGGUAAACGGCGGCCGUAACUAUAACGGUCCUAAGGUAGCGAAAUUCCUUGUCGGGUAAGUUCCGACCUGCACGAAUGGCGUAAUGAUGGCCAGGCUGUCUCCACCCGAGACUCAGUGAAAUUGAACUCGCUGUGAAGAUGCAGUGUACCCGCGGCAAGACGGAAAGACCCCGUGAACCUUUACUAUAGCUUGACACUGAACAUUGAGCCUUGAUGUGUAGGAUAGGUGGGAGGCUUUGAAGUGUGGACGCCAGUCUGCAUGGAGCCGACCUUGAAAUACCACCCUUUAAUGUUUGAUGUUCUAACGUGGACCCGUGAUCCGGGUUGCGGACAGUGUCUGGUGGGUAGUUUGACUGGGGCGGUCUCCUCCUAAAGAGUAACGGAGGAGCACGAAGGUUGGCUAAUCCUGGUCGGACAUCAGGAGGUUAGUGCAAUGGCAUAAGCCAGCUUGACUGCGAGCGUGACGGCGCGAGCAGGUGCGAAAGCAGGUCAUAGUGAUCCGGUGGUUCUGAAUGGAAGGGCCAUCGCUCAACGGAUAAAAGGUACUCCGGGGAUAACAGGCUGAUACCGCCCAAGAGUUCAUAUCGACGGCGGUGUUUGGCACCUCGAUGUCGGCUCAUCACAUCCUGGGGCUGAAGUAGGUCCCAAGGGUAUGGCUGUUCGCCAUUUAAAGUGGUACGCGAGCUGGGUUUAGAACGUCGUGAGACAGUUCGGUCCCUAUCUGCCGUGGGCGCUGGAGAACUGAGGGGGGCUGCUCCUAGUACGAGAGGACCGGAGUGGACGCAUCACUGGUGUUCGGGUUGUCAUGCCAAUGGCACUGCCCGGUAGCUAAAUGCGGAAGAGAUAAGUGCUGAAAGCAUCUAAGCACGAAACUUGCCCCGA